UUUAUGGAGAGUUUGAUCCUGGCUCAGGAUGAACGCUGGCGGCGUGCCUAAUACAUGCAAGUCGAGCGAACAGACGAGGAGCUUGCUCCUCUAACGUUAGCGGCGGACGGGUGAGUAAC
rnacentral:rRNA from 1 species